rnacentral:rRNA from 1 species
GACGAACGCUGGCGGCGCGCUUAAUACAUGCAAGUCGAACGAGCGGAUGCGGGCAGGCUUCCACUGGGGAAGGUCAGUGGCGGACGGGAGAGUAACGCGUGGGCACUCUGCGCGUAGGACAGGGAUAAGAAACGACAAGUAAUGCUACGAACGGCCACAGGUAGCUAGCGACCAGAUGGGAAAAGGCAAGGCCCCGCUUUGGGAUGAGCCCGCGUCCCAUUAGCUAGUUGGUGAGGUAACGGCCCACCAAGGCAACGAUGGGUAGCCGGCCUGAGAGGGUGGGCGGCCACACUGGGACUGAGACACGGCCCAGACUCCUACGGGAGGCAGCAGUAGGGAAUUUUCGGCAAUGGGCGAAAGCCUGACGGAGCGACGCCGCGUGAGGGAAGAAGGUCUUCGGAUCGUAAACCCCUGUCAUCGAGGACGAUAAUGACGGUACUCGAGGAGGAAGCCCCGGCUAACUACGUG